AGAGUUUGAUCAGUGGCUCAGGACGAACGCUGGCGGCACGCUUAACACAUGCAAGUCGAACGGAGAUAUUUUGGUUUACUGAGGUAUCUUAGUGGCGGACGGGUGAGUAACACGUGAGCAACCUGCCUCUGAGAGGGGGAUAGCUUCUGGAAACGGAUGGUAAUACCCUAUGACAUAACGAAGCCGCAUGACUUUGUUAUCAAAGAUUUAUCACUCAGAGAUGGGCUCGCGUCUGAUUAGCUGGUUGGUGAGGUAACGGCCCACCAAGGCGACGAUCAGUAGCCGGACUGAGAGGUUGAACGGCCACAUUGGGACUGAGACACGGCCCAGACUCC
rnacentral:rRNA from 1 species